CCCUACGGGGUGCACCAGGCGCGAAACCUCUACAAUGCACGAAAGUGUGAUAGGGGGAUCCUAAGUGCUUAUGUUUUACAUAAGGCUUUUGCCAAGCGUAAAUAACUUGGAGAAUAAGUGGUGGGCAAGACUGGUGCCAGCCGCCGCGGUAA
rnacentral:rRNA from 1 species